CGGAUCUCGAAUCCCUCUGGACAAUGUGCAGUUUCCAGUUAUCAAGGGAACUGUCAAAGUAUGCGUAUCUGGAAUGGAAUACUAGCAGAAGACACAGGAGAAAAAGAAGACCAAAUAUGUUACAUCGUGAUGCACUUGCAAACGUUUCAAUCUCAUUCAGAUAUGCAGUAGCCUUUCAGUUCAAAGAUUGUGUGCAGGCAGUGUAAGCAUGCAAGUACCGCUGAUUGGCCGAAGGAGUGUACGGAAAAAGUGAACAAACCUCCAAGGCACAAAGAAAAGGGUUCAUGAGGCUUCUCUCCUUUGCAUGGAAAGGCUAUGUAGUAUGCACCAUACAUUGGAUGGCAUGUUUUGGAUACAUGACGGGCAAAAACUAGGCAGCUCUACGUUGACUAUUUCUAGUUCCACGAUACUAAAUGUACAUGUUAAAGACUUUAGUUCAAAAAUACUAGCUGAUAAAUGCUAAGUUGAGACGAUCACCUUCCAGUAAUAUUUUUUUGUGCAUUCGUGUUCCUUAUGCAACCCCUUUUUAUAUCCCCAUCCCCAUAUGGUGCCAUUUAUAAAGUUUCCAGAUUGAAUAAUUAAGCAGCUCGCCCAAGUCAGUAGUAUCAAUAUGGACCAGAUUUAAGGGAAACCCCCAAGGUGGAGUAAGAUUCUGCAAAGGAAAGUUUGACAUCCACAUUUAGGUGGAUGUCAAACUUUCCUUUGCAGUAUCAAUAUGUAUACCUAAAGCGUUUCACUGAGGGGGUAGUUUCCAUAGUUGCCCCCAAAAAAAAGGCCAGUUUGUUUGCUCAGCCUCUACAUCAACCGGUCACAGCUGUUGCAGCAGUCUUGAUGAAAUUGCUCUGCUGUGUAGGUAACCAUACUUCACAUUUUCACAGUAAACUUUUUGUGCACAUUA